rnacentral:rRNA from 1 species
AAUGAACGCUGGCGGCAUGCCUAACACAUGCAAGUCGAACGAAGGCUUCGGCCUUAGUGGCGCACGGGUGCGUAACGCGUGGGAAUCUGCCCUCAGGUUCGGAAUAACAGCGAGAAAUUGCUGCUAAUACCGGAUGAUAUCGCGAGAUCAAGGAUUUAUCGCCUGAGGAUGAGCCCGCGUAGGAAUAGCUAGUUGGUGUGGUAAAGGCGCACCAAGGCGACGAUCCUUAGCUGGUCUGAGAGGAUGAUCAGCCACACUGGGACUGAGACACGGCCCAGACUCCUACGGGAGGCAGCAGUGGGGAAUAUUGGACAAUGGGCGAGAGCCUGAUCCAGCAAUGCCGCGUGAGUGAUGAAGGCCUUAGGGUUGUAAAGCUCUUUUACCCGGGAUGAUAAUGACAGUACCGGGAGAAUAAGCUCCGGCUAACUCCGUGCCAGCAGCCGCAGUAA